AGCUAUUUGACGUGAGCGCUAAUAAAUAUAUAUUUGAAAUAUAUUUUGUUCGUUGCAGGGUUGUUUUUGUAACCACCCUGGUUUUCACGUAUUGGGAAUUGGCUGCAACAUACCGCAACAAAUAUACAUGAAAACCCAUACGGUGACAAUUGCGCCCAACGUUAUUUAAAGACGAGAAGAAGUACUAUAAACAUCGACUGCGAAUUAGGCUAUAUACAAUCGUGGACCUCCUGGACGCAACCUACUGACUCGUUUUUGUAACGUAUCAGAUAAUAUCUGCGACUUUUGUCGAAAACGGUUCGGAUGGUGUCAUGUUACACGGCGUGUACAACCGGCCUUACUCGACUCUCAGCGCAACAUUCCGACACCAGUAAACAUAUUCGACUAUCGUCGACACACGGUUCAGAUGUUGUCAUAGUACACGGCUUUUACAACCGACGACCGUACCCGGACGCCAAGCGCAACAUUCCGACACACGACGCCGGACGUAUCCAGGGAGGAGGAGUUCUACCUAGAAAAAGACGGACGUUCUUUGCUCCAAGGAUAACCCGAUUGCGUGUCUUUCUUCCCCGGGGACAUACAUCUUCAAUUGUGCGCAUAAACAUUUGAACGGACAGACUUCUAAAUUCUGCCGAUGACAGGGAGGAUUCGCCGCGUAUCGUGUUGGACAAUUAUUAUUGGACUUAAAGUGACAAGUCAGGUUGUUUCCUGGAUGUUUACGGAUUGUAAAUUCAAGUUCCACAUACUGUGCCAACUUAAUGGGUUCUGGAAACCAGGCCACGGACAGAUGCAUCUGUAACACCGACUAUGUUCUCUGGGUCGACGGAAAAUGUACUAAAUCUAACGCAGCUGGUGUUGAAGCAUCAAUGACCCUUCUGCUGAUCUGAUUUCUAACAAAGAAGUUCUAAAUUAAACGGACGACGCACAGAUUCAACAACUCAGUUAUAUUUAACAGAAAUGCCUCUUAAAAUAAUUAAAACCUUAAUUAUUUAGACUGAACCUAAAAGGAUACAUUUGUUAAAGAUGAAUAUAUAGUUAUUUAAAAAAUUGUUGAACAUGUCAAUUUCUAAAUUUCAUUCAACGAGUGUUUUAAUUAUUAUUUAACUACAAGAAACAAACCAUGUUGAUGUGUAUAGAUCUGUAAAUAAGUAAUGUUCGUUUCAAUUCGUCAUGCAUAAAAUAUGGAAUACAAAUAGAGCCUUAAAAUCAAAAACAAAAAAAUGAUACAAAUUAACAUGUAUUUUUUAACUUAUGUUAAAUCUGAGUAGUUUAUUUUUAAGUACGGAGUUUCUUAUCCAACGAGAAAAAAAAUGUUAAAAUGUUAAGAACCGAUCUCCAAAGCAUACAUUAUUAUGUUUACGUAAACAGGUUUCAAAAUUCAAGCAAAAUCAUUUGUUUUUAAUGCAAGCUGUCGAAAAGGUACUUAAAAACAAACUAUGAGGAUCAGCUACAACAAAUAAUAAUCAUUUUGUAAAAAUGUUUUUGUGUGAAGAACCUUAACCAUAUCUUGCUUGGGAAGUGCUGUGACUAAUGCAGUUGAUAUUAGUUGUAAGGCCUAAUGAAAAUGAUUAGAUCUUUAAAUCAGACAUAUAUGAUCUUGCAAGUAUGGUUUGUAUGAUCACAUAAACCUCUUUUUAUAAACAAAUUAACAUGAAGUGUUUUUUUUUAACUUAUGUUAAAUCUUAUAAGUGUAUUUUUAAGUACAUAAUCUUAUCCAGCGAGAAAAAAAGUAUUCAAAAUGUUAUCAACCGAAGUCCAAAACAUACUUUAAUGUUUACGUAAACAGGUUUCUCGUUCAAGCAAAAACAUUUGUCUUCAUUGCAAGCUGUCGAAAAGGUACUUAAAAACAAACUAUGAGGGUCAGCUACAACAAAUAAUAAUCAUUUUGUAAAAAUGUUUAUGUGUGAAGAACCUAAACCAUAUCUUGCUUGGGAAGUGUUGUGACUAAUGCACUUGAUAUUAGUUGUAAGGCCUAAUGAAAAUGAUUAAAUCUUUAAAACAGGCAUAUAUGAUCUUGCAAGUAUGGUUUGUAUGAUCACAUAAACCUCUAUUUAUAAACAAAUUAACAUGUAGUGUUUUUUUAUAACUUAUGUUAAAUCCGAUCAGUGUAUAUUUAAAUACAUGGCAAUAUCAACGAGAAAAAAAGUAGUUCAAAUGUUAAAAACUGAUUUCAAAACAUGCUUUAUUAUAUUUACUUAAAAAGAAUUCUCGUUCAAGCAAAACCAUUUGUUUUCAUUGCAAGCUGUCGAAAAGGUACUUUAAAACAAACUAUAAGGAUCUGCUACUUCAACUUAUAAUCAUUUUGUAAAAAUGUUUAUGUGUGAAGAACCUUAAACACAUCUUGCUUGGGAAGUGUUGUGACUAAUGCAGUUGAUAUUAGUUGUAAGGCCUAAUGAAACUGAUUAGAUCUUUAAAACAGGCAUAUAUGAUCUUACAAGUAUGGUUUGUAUGAUCGCAUGAACCUCUAUUUAUAAACAAAUUAACAUGUAGUGUUGUAGUUUGUUGCAGCGUAUGUUAAAUCUGAUUAGUGUAUUUAAGUACACGGCCUUAUCCAGCGGGGAAAAAAGUGGUCAAAAUGUUAUCAACCGAAUUCCAAAACAUAAAUUAUUAUGUUUACGUUAACAGGUUUCUCGUUCAAGCAAAACAAUUUGUUUCCAUCGCAAGCUGUUGAAAAGGUACUUAUAAACAAAUGGUCAGCUACAUCAAAUAAUAAUCAUUUUGUAAAAAUGUUUAUGUGUGAAGAACCUUAGCCAUAUCUUGCUUGGGAAGUGUUGUGACUAAUGCAGUUGAUAUUAGUUGUAAGGCCUAAUGAAACUGAUUAGAUCUUUAAAACAGGCAUGUAUGAUCUUGCAAGUAUGGUUUGUAUGAUCGCAUGAACCACUAUUUAUAAACAAAUUAACAUGUAGUGUUGUAGUUUGUUGAAGCGUAUGUUAAAUCUGAUUAGUGUAUUUAAGUAGACGGCCUUCUCCAGCGGGGAAAAAAGUAUUCAAAAUGUUAUCAACCGAAUUCCAAAACAUAAAUUAUUAUGUUUACGUUAACAGGUUUCUCGUUCAGGCAAAACAAUUUGUUUCCAUCGCAAGCUGUCGAAAAGGUACUUAAAACAAACUAUGAGGGUCAGCCACAACAAAUAAUAAUCAUUUUGUAAAAAUGUUUAUGUGUGAAGAACCUUAACCAUAUCUUGCUUGGGAAGUGUUGUGACUAAUGCACUUGAUAUUAGUUGUAAGGCCUAAUGAAAAUGAUUAAAUCUUUAAAACAGGCAUAUAUGAUCUUGCAAGUAUGGUUUGUAUGAUCACAUAAACCUCUAUUUAUAAACAAAUUAACAUGUAGUGUUUAUUUUAUAACUUAUGUUAAAUCCGAUCAGUGCAUUUUUAAAUACAUGGCAAUAUCAACGAGAAAAAAAGUAGUUCAAAUGUUAAAAACUGAUUUCAAAACAAGCUUUAUUAUAUUUACUUAAAAAGAUUUCUCGUUCAAGCAAAACCAUUUGUUUUCAUUGCAAGCUGUCGAAAAGGUACUUUAAAACAAACUAUAAGGGUCUGCUACUUCAACUUAUAAUCAUUUUGUAAAAAUGUUUAUGUGUGAAGAACCUUAAACAUAUCUUGCUUGGGAAGUGUUGUGACUAAUGCAGUUGAUAUUAGUUGUAAGGCCUAAUGAAAAUGAUUAGAUCUUUAAAACAGGCAUAUAUGAUCUUGCAAGUAUGGUUUGUAUGAUCGCAUGAACCUCUAUUUAUAAACAAAUUAACAUGUAGUGUUGUAGUUUGUUGAAGCGUUUGUUAAAUCUGAUUAGUGUAUUUAAGUACACGGUCUUAUCCAGCGAGGGAAAAAGUGGUCAAAAUGUUAUCAACCGAAUUCCAAAACAUAAAUUAUUAUGUUUACGUUAACAGGUUUCUCGUUCAAGCAAAACAAUUUGUUUCCAUCGCAAGCUGUUGAAAAGGUACAUAUAAACAAAUGGUCAGCUACAUCAAAUAAUAAUCAUUUUGUAAAAAUGUUUAUGUGUGAAGAACGUUAACCAUAUCUUGCUUGGGAAGUGCUGUGACUAAUGCAGUUGAUAUUAGUUGUAAGGCCUAAUGAAACUGAUUAGAUCUUUAAAACAGGCAUAUAUGAUCUUGCAAGUAUGGUUUGUAUGAUCGCAUGAACCACUAUUUAUAAACAAAUUAGCAUGUAGUGUUGUAGUUUGUUGAAGCGGAUGUUAAAUCUGAUUAGUAUAUUUAAGUAGACGGCCUUCUCCAGCGGGGAAAAAAGUAUUCAAAAUGUUAUCAACCGAAUUCCAAAACAUAAAUUAUUAUGUUUACGUUAACAGGUUUCUCGUUCAGGCAAAACAAUUUGUUUCCAUCGCAAGCUGUCGAAAAGGUACUUAAAAACAAACUAUGAGAGUCAGCCACAACAAAUAAUAAUCAUUUUGUAAAAAUGUUUAUGUGUGAAGAAACUAAACCAUAUCUUGCUUGGGAAGUGUUGUGACUAAUGCACUUGAUAUUAGUUGAAAGGCCUAAUGAAAAUGAUUAGAUCUUUAAAACAGGCAUAUAUGAUCUUGCAAGUAUGGUUUGUAUGAUCACAUAAACCUCUAUUUAUAAACAAAUUAACAUGUAGUGUUUUUUUUUAACUUAUGUUAAAUCCGAUCAGUGUAUUUUUAAUACAUGGCAAUAUCAACGAGAAAGAAAGUAGUUUAAAUGUUAAAAAUUGAUAUCAAAACAUGCUUUAUUAUAUUUACUUAAAAAGAUUUCUCGUUCAAGCAAAACCAUUUGUUUUCAUUGCAAGCUGUCGAAAAGGUACUUUAAAACAAACUAUAAGGGUCUGCUACUUCAACUUAUAAUCAUUUUGUAAAAAUGUUUAUGUGUGAAGAACCUUAAACACAUCUUGCUUGGGAAGUGUUGUGACUAAUGCAGUUGAUAUUAGUUGUAAGGCCUAAUGAAAAUGAUUAGAUCUUUAAAACAGGCAUAUAUGAUCUUGCAAGUAUGGUUUGUAUGAUCACAUAAACCUCUAUUUAUAAACAAAUUAACAUGUAGUGUUUUUUUAACUUAUGUUAAAUUCGAUCAGUGUAUUUUUAUUACAUGGCAAUAUCAACGAGAAAGAAAGUAGUUUAAAUGUUAAAAAUUGAUAUCAAAACAUGCUUUAUUAUAUUUACUUAAAAAGAUUUCUCGUUCAAGCAAAACCAUUUGUUUUCAUUGCAAGCUGUCGAAAAGGAACUUUAAAACAAACUAUAAGGGUCUGCUACUUCAACUUAUAAUCAUUUGGUAAAAAUGUUUAUGUGUGAAGAACCUUAAACACAUCUUGCUUGGGAAGUGUUGUGACAAAUGCAGUUGAUAUUAGUUGUAAGGCCUAAUGAAAAUGAUUAGAUCUUUAAAACAGGCAUAUAUGAUCUUGCAAGUAUGGUUUGUAUGAUCGCAUGAACCUCUAUUUAUAAACAAAUUAACAUGUAGUGUUGUAGUUUGUUGAAGCGUAUGUUAAAUCUGAUUAGUGUAUUUAAGUACACGGCCUUAUCCAGCGGGGAAAAAAAGUAGUCAAAAUGUUAUGAACCGAAUUCCAAAACAUACUCAUAUGUUUACGUUAACAGGUUUCUCGUUCAAGCAAAACAAUUCGUUUCCAUUGCAAGCUGUCGAAAAGGCACUUAAAAACCAAUGGUCAGCUACAUCAAAUAAUAAUCAUUUUGUAAAAAUGUUUAUGUGUGAAGAACCUUAACCAUAUCUUGCUUGGGAAGUGUUGUGACUUAUGGACUUGAUAUUAGUUGUAAGGCCUAAUGCAAAUGAUUAAAUCUUUAAAGCAGACAUAUAUGAUCUUGCAAGCGGGUUUAUAUGAUCACAUAAACCCAUUUUUAUUAAAACUCGUGUUUUUACUGGCUUUUUGUGUGCGUUUGACUUUUUUAACAUAUAGUUUAGCCAUGCCAUUAUGUUACUUUUUUGCUUUGUAUUGUUUUCUUUUUUAAGAUAGUAUACUUCUUUUGCAUAA